UACGUAGGGGGCAAGCGUUGUCCGGAUUUAUUGGGCGUAAAGAGCUCGUAGGUGGUUCGGUAAGUCGGAUGUGAAAUCUCCAGGCUCAACCUGGAGGGGUCAUUCGAUACUGCCGUGACUAGAGGUCGGUAGGGGAGUGUGGAAUUCCUGGUGGAGCGGUGAAAUGCGCAGAUAUCAGGAGGAACACCGGUGGCGAAGGCGGGUCUCUGGGCAAUAACUGACGCUGAGGAGCGAAAGCGUGGGGAGCGAACAGG
rnacentral:rRNA from 1 species